GAUGAACGCUGGCGGCGUGCCUAAUACAUGCAAGUCGAGCGAAGCGGGGACGGGUGAGUAACACGGGGAUAACCUCCUAUAAGACUGGGAGAACUUGGGGAAACCGGAGCUCAACCGGAUACUCAUAGAUGGAUCCUCGAUGCAUUAGCUAGUUGGUAGGGUAACGGCUUACCAAGGCACCGAGCCAUAGCCGACCGCAGAGGGGAACCGUCACCACGGGAACGGAGACACGGCCCAGACUCCUACGGGGGGCAGAAGUGGGAAAUCUUCCGCAAUGGGCGAAAGCCUGACGGAGAACGGCCGCGGGAGUGAUGAGGGUUUUGGGAUCGUAAAACUUGGUUAUUAGGGAAGCGGUACCUAAUCAGAAAGCCACGGCUAACUACGUGCCAGCAGCCGCGGUAAUAC
rnacentral:rRNA from 1 species